AUGGCCGCCUCUGCCUCCGCCGGCAGCCGCCACUUCAAGAUCUUCGCGGCCGCCGACGGCUUCGGCGAGCCGCUCAAGGACGCCGUCGUCGCGCACCUCCGCGCCCACCCCUCCGUCGCCGACGUCGUCGACCUCGGCGUCGACAAGUACUACGCCGCCGCCGCGGCCGUCGCCCGCGGCGUCUCCUCCUCGGCCCCCGACCCCGCGCUCGAAUCCCGCGGCGUCGUCGUCUGCGGCACCGGCGCCGGCGUCACCAUCUUCGCCAACAAGUACCCCGGCGUGUACGCCACCCACUGCAGCUCCGCCGCCGACGCCGCCGCGUUCGCCAUCGCCGACGCCUGGCUCGCCACCCCCUUCCGCGCCCCCUGCCCCGCGUCCGGCGACGCCCCUUGGCCGGAGGACAUUCAGAAGUUCCUCGAUGCUGCCCCCGUUCGAGAGCCGGUGGACAUCAUGCCCGGCGGCGAGAUGCGGAUUGUGCGCGAGAGCCCCACUUCGGCCUACGUCCGGUUCAAAGCUGGAAGCGUGGAGCCGGCCCACCACCACACCUUCGGCCACGACCUGGUGGUGAUCAAGGGCAAGAAGAAGGUGUGGAACUUGACCAAGAAGGAGAGCUAUGGCCUGGUCGAUGGGGACUUCCUGUUCACGCCUGCUGGGGACGUGCACCGCGUCAAGUACUUGGAGGACACGGAGUUCUUCAUCCGCUGGGAUGGGCACUGGGACAUAUUCCUCGAUGAAGACCUCGAGACCGCACGCAAUGCCAUCGAUGCAGAGCUCGGUGUGGUUGACAGUGAGAAGUGA
rnacentral:rRNA from 1 species